GGUUAAAACUCAAAUGAAUUGACGGGGGACCCGCACAAGCGGUGGAGCAUGUGGUUUAAUUCGAUGCAACGCGAAAACCUUACCUACUCUUGACAUCCUUGGAAUCUCUUGUAAUGAGAGAGUGCCUUUUGGAACCAAGUGACAGGUGCUGCAUGGCUUGUCGUCAGCUCGUGUCGUGAGAUGUUCCGUUAAGUCGGAUAACGAGCGCAACCCUUACCCUUAUUUGCCAGCGGUUCGGCCGGGAACUAUAAGGGGACUGCCGGUGAUAAACCGGAGGAAGGUGAGGACGACGUCAAGUCAUCAUGGCCCUUACGAGUAGGGCUACACACGUGCUACAAUGGGAAGUACAGAGGGACGCCAAAGCGCGAGCUGGAGCUAAUCUCAUAAAACUUUUCGUAGUCCGGAUUGCAGUCUGCAACUCGACUGCAUGAAGUCGGAAUCGCUAGUAAUCGCGGAUCAGCACGCCGCGGUGAAUACGUUCUCGGGUCUUGUACACACCGCCCGUCACACCAUGGGAGUGUAUUGCACCAGAAGUAGGUAGUCUAACCUUCGGGAGGGCGCUUACCACGGUGUGAUCCAUGACUGGGGUG
rnacentral:rRNA from 1 species